rnacentral:lncRNA from 1 species
AUGCCGGAAGGAACCAAGGUCCUCAGGGAUAGGCGGAAAAUGCAUAACGGCGGCUAUAUCUCGGGCCUCUAAAAUACCAUGCUGGCCAUCAAUAAAAAAAUGAAUGGCUAUGGGGUCCUGGACGCCUCUAGUAGUCAUAGUUUGGUAGAAAUCUAAGACUACCCUAGGGUAAUAGAAGGACCUAGGAGUCAUAAAUGGCUCGAUGUGGUACCUCUGCAGAAGGCGGUAUGACUCCUCUAGCUCUGGUAAUAGGCGGAGAGUCUCAUGCUCCAUACAGAUCUCAUCGUGAAAUGACCUAUCUCUGAUAUGAAGUUUGAAAAUGAAUUUAAAAAGAAUCAUAUCCUUGGUAAGCAUGAAGAAAAAAUUUCGCAAGGUGAAAAUUCACCUUGCCAAAUUUUCGCACUGGUUACUCCCCUUAAAAACCAAUCCCGAGAGGUUGCAUUUUGAUAUUUGCUUUGAAAACAAUUUCGCAAGGUGAAAAAUGACUUGCGAAAAUUUUCGCACUGGUUACUCCUUGCGAAAGUGCAAUCCCGAGAGGUUGUAAAUUGCAUCUUGCCAAAAUGUGCAUUUUGCAAGGUGAAAUUCACCUUGCCAAAUUUUCGCAACUCACUUUUUGAGUUGCGAAAUGGGCUUUUAAGCUUGGACUUAGAUAUAUUUCUCCCCUAUUUCACUUUUCUCUCCACAUUUGUGAGCUUGUGAGCUUUCGUACCUGCUAUUGGACAUCAAAGCUCCAUUAAAAACAUAAAAAAUCAAAAUCAAAACUAAGAAACCUAAACAAAAUAUGUGCAAAAGUAUUAAAAAUGCAAAGUAAACAAGAAUGUAAUACUAAAAUUAAAACAAAAA